ACCUUAAUAGUGUCUUUGAUUUUGUGGUGAGAAAGUGAGUUUUAUGUAUGGAAGAACUAAAUGGUGAGGUUGAUUGGAGUUCACAUACUUGUUAGAAGCUUUAAAAGUUGAUUUGGGAGUGUUUGGAGUGAAAAAACAUUCAUUUGUUCACAAGAGGGCAUUCUGAGAUUUUGCUAGUACAAAAAUGUUUUGGUGAUUUUAAGCACAUAGAGACUCUUUUUUUUAAUAUUUUUUGAUAGACC
rnacentral:lncRNA from 1 species